CGGGAUAAGCGGGCAAUCGCUCUUUUUUGUAAUUUUUAUUACAAAAAGGGGAGGAAAGUCCGGACUCCAGGCUUAUUUUAUAAGCAAGACGAUAGUGGGUAACGCCCACCGAAGCGCUUAAAUUAUUUUUAGGAGCUUUAGGGAUAGUGCCACAGAGACAAUUCUAAUCCUGGAAAUUUUGACAGGAUAAAAGGUGAAAAGAUAUUGGAUGUUUCCAUCAGGAAGCUACCGAUUUCGGCCUCCGGUGACGGAGAUGCCGUGGUAAACCCUAUCAGGAGCAAGAGCAAAGUUUUAUUCAUUUUUUGAAUAAAAUAAAAAGUAGCUCGCCCGAGUUUAUCAGUAAUGAUAAACCUAGAUAAAUGAUUGCUAGAACAGAAUCCGGCUUAUGGCUGUCCCGAUAA
rnacentral:RNase_P_RNA from 1 species